rnacentral:snRNA from 1 species
GUGUCACAUACAUACACCAAAACUGGAAUGACACAGAGAAUAUUAGCAUGGCUCCAAGCAAGGAUGACACACAACAUUGUUCAUAGAACUCUAGCGGCU